UUCUCCAAGCUGACAGUCAUCCAGUGCAGAUUUGGCCAAUAUUCUUCGUAGUCUUCCAGCUAUGAAGCUAUAAUCAAUGAAUAUCAGCUUCGAUGCAGCCAAAAAAUAGGUCUUCCAGUAAAAUGGCGUUGGACGAGCUUCGAUUAACAUGCUAUGGGCAGCUCAUUAUUUAUGAAUUAUAAAGCAGUUAUGCUCCCAGUCGUAUUCAUGUGCAUACAUAUUAUGGGACUGGACAUCAUGAAAACUUCAGGAUUUGUCCCAAGCUUUUUUCAGGUGGGAACACCACACCGGCAUUUUCCGAAAUUUUUGGGUAGAUGGCCAUCAUCAAAUGGUUUAAGAUUAUCUGUAUCCAACGCCCCUGCUCUUAACCAAUUCACCAAAACCCCAUGCAAAAUGACUCGCCUGUCACCAAAUCGUGUUGUUUCUUUGUCCCAAAUCUCAGCCUACACUUCAGAUGGAUUAGGCACAAAUUUUUUGUCAGUUUUUCGUUGUUUUCAGCUUUCUUGUGUUUUGUACUGAGUGGCGGUCCUGUGAAUUAAUCUUCACUAGACACCUCAGUGAAAUGUGCGAGAGUUUCUUUUAUACAUCAUGUUUAGUUCUAUGCGUCUCGUUUUCUGGGUAUUAGUGAUUUUGUGCUUGGAUCUCCUCCUGUAUGGAUACUGAGCAGAUAUUGAGCACCUAUUCAUAUUUUUUAGUGGAUUUGUAUGACACAGCGUCCUUUUUUCAUCAAUUCUGGAGUCAUUUUAAGCUGAUUUUCA